AGGGAUAGGGUCGGUUCGGCCGGGUUUCACACAGGUGUUGCAUGGCUGUCGUCAGCUCGUGUCGUGAGAUGUUGGGUUAAGUCCCGCAACGAGCGCAACCCUCAUCCUUAGUUACCAUCAGGUAAUGCUGGGGACUUUAAGGAAACUGCCAGUGAUAAGCUGGAGGAAGGUGGGGAUGAUGUCAAGUCAUCAUGGCCCUUAUGGAGUGGGCUACACACGUGCUACAAUGGUGGCUACAAUGGGCUGCAAAGUCGCGAGGCUAAGCCAAUCCCUUAAAAGCCAUCUCAGUUCGGAUUGUACUCUGCAACUCGAGUGCAUGAAGUUGGAAUCGCUAGUAAUCGUGGAUCAGCACGCCACGGUGAAUACGUUCUCGGGUCUUGUACACACUGCCCGUCACGCCAUGGGAAUUGGU
rnacentral:rRNA from 1 species